rnacentral:rRNA from 1 species
GACGAACGCUGGCGGCGUGCUUAACACAUGCAAGUCGAACGGUGAAGGGACCGGUUUUUGCUGGUUCUGGAUGAGUGGCGAACGGGUGAGUAACACGUGAGUAACCUGCCCCCUUCUUCUGGAUAACCGCAUGAAAGUGUGGCUAAUACGGGAUAUUCUGCGCCUGCUGCAUGGUGGGUGUGGGAAAGAUAUUGUUUCGGUGGGGGAUGGGCUCGCGGCCUAUCAGCUUGUUGGUGGGGUGAGGGCCUACCAAGGCGGUGACGGGUAGCCGGCCUGAGAGGGUGGACGGUCACACUGGGACUGAGACACGGCCCAGACUCCUACGGGAGGCAGCAGUGGGGAAUAUUGCACAAUGGGCGCAAGCCUGAUGCAGCGACGCCGCGUGAGGGAUGGAGGCCUUCGGGUUGUAAACCUCUUUCACCAGUGAAGCAGGCCUGUCCCUUUUGUGGGUGGGUUGACGGUAGCUGGAUAAGAAGCGCCGGCUAACUACGUG